rnacentral:rRNA from 1 species
GGUCGCUGCAGAUGCUGGCCUCGGUCGUGUCUGCAACGGCCAUCCGUCUGCGAACCACACUCGGCCUUCACUGGUCGGUAUGGGGAGCAGACCUUUUACUUUGAAAAAAUUAGAGUGUUUAAGGCAGGCAAUUGCCCGAAUACAUUAGCAUGGAAUAAUGGAAUAGGACUGUGGUCUAUUUUGUUGGUUAUUAGAUCAUAGUA